CCUACGGGUGGCAGCAGUCGAGAAUCAUUCACAAUGGGGGAAACCCUGAUGGUGCGACGCCGCGUGGGGGAAUGAAGGUCUUCGGAUUGUAAACCCCUGUCAUGCGGGAGCAAAUUAAAAAGAUAGUACCACAAGAGGAAGAGACGGCUAACUCUGUGCCAGCAGCCGCGGUAAUACAGAGGUCUCAAGCGUUGUUCGGAAUCACUGGGCGUAAAGCGUGCGUAGGCUGUUUCGUAAGUCGUGUGUGAAAGGCGCGGGCUCAACCCGCGGACGGCACAUGAUACUGCGAGACUAGAGUGAUGGAAGGGGAACCGGAAUUCGCGGUGUAGCAGUGAAAUGCGUAGAUAUCGAGAGGAACACUCGUGGCGAAGGCGGGUUCCUGGACAUUAACUGACGCUGAGGCACGAAGGCCAGGGGAGCGAAAGGGAUUAGAUACCCGAGUAGUC
rnacentral:rRNA from 1 species